CUUUGCCCAUUUUUAAUGGGCUCUUUGUUUUUUGCCUGCUGAUUUAAGUUUCUUAUAAAGGAUAUUAGACCUUUGUUAGAUGCAUAAUUUGC